GGGUUGGAGCUGCCAGGGUGUGGGAACCACAACAUCCCCGUGCUGGGAUCACAUCCCAAGGGGUGACACCCCAGCCUUCCGUGGCUGCUGCGUGAGGGCACGGCAAUGACGGCGCUGCCCUUUGGUUUUGGGAAUUUCAACGUUUCCCGCCGUUUUGCCAGCAGGAAGCACCGGUGCCAGCCCGAAUGCCAGCCCCUCUGCAGCGCCCAGUCAGUCACCCGUGCCCCCAGCACCGCCCGGGCCGUCCCCAGAUGGAUCCAGGCCACUGGAGAUGGCUCCAACACCGGACACGGCCACGCUGGGAGAGGGGACAUCGCUGCCCGUCCCGCCCUCGGACCAUGCCACAGUUUCCAUCCGGUCCGUGGCCUCUUCUGUUGGACUCCUGGCGCUGCUGGCCAUCGGAACUGCGGCCGUCUGCUGCUGGAGGAGGAGGAGGAGGAGGAGGAGGAGGAGGAGGAAGUAAGUGCCAAACCCCAGCAAUGAGUUUUCCAAAGAGAAGCCUUGGGACGCCACUGAUGCUGCUCUUCCCCCCACAGAGGCGCCAGGCAGGGCUACGCCGUGACGGAGACGGAGACGGAGAUUCCCAUGGAGGGAAUUCGCUCUGGGAACCAGGAGGUGCCACCUCCUGUCAUUGUCCCCACGGGCUGAGCGCCCCCCCUGGGGACGCCGGGCGCACCCACCGUGCCGAGGGACGCCCGAGGAUGGAAUUCUGGAUGCUUCCCUGA
rnacentral:lncRNA from 1 species